GACGGAGGAUGCAAGCGUUAUCCGGAAUGAUUGGGCGUAAAGCGUCCGCAGGUGGCAGUUCAAGUCUGCCGUUAAAGACCGGGGCUUAACCCUGGAAAGGCGGUGGAAACUGAGCGGCUAGAGUGCAGUAGGGGUAGAGGGAAUUCCCAGUGUAGCGGUGAAAUGCGUAGAUAUGCGGAGGAACACCGAUGGCGAAGGCAAUCCCCUGGGCCUGCACUGACGCUCAUGCACGAAAGCGUGGGGAGCAAACAGG
rnacentral:rRNA from 1 species